UUCCUUUUUUCUCCUUCAAAUUUUCACACCCCAAUCAAAAAAUCUCUUGCCUUUAUGUAGGCUAAUUUAAUACAUGAUAUUUUUGGUGAACUUGCAAUCACAACCUUUACAAGCGUUUUAGUAGUACAAUCCAAGGGUCUGAAAGUGCAACUAUUAUAGAUUGUUGGAUUCAAUACAAUCAAUGGUCACAAAUAAAGUUAAAGCAGGACCCUUCAGUUGCUCAUUUGUUGAGGUGGUUGAUCUACCAAAAUGGCAUGUUAAACCUAGUGCCACAAAUUGCAUGUGAGUUCAAACACAUGGCACGAUCUCAGCCGUUCAGAGUUAAUGCUAGAUCGAAUGGUUAGCGAUUCUUCCAAAGGCUUUUGAGUAUGUGGAGUCCAAAUUUCACAUUUGUUUUUAGGAUCCAAGCAUCAUGAUUUUAGGGAUUUACCUAUAAAAUACAAAAAUCAUACGUAAAAUAAAUAAAAAUAAAUAAUUUAUAAAAUAGGUUAAGAAUUUGUAAAUGAGAUGAAAUUAUUAGUGUUAUCUACAUUAUAAGUGAAAAAUGAUAAUUUUAACCUUUAUUGAAUAUUUGCUUUCUAGUGUCAAUCAGAUGAUGAGUUAAAAAGAAUUCUCAAGGAUAAAACAUAACUAUUUAUUAGUGUUAUAAAUUUUCUUUUAGAUUUGUCAAGCAAUGGGGAAUGCGAGAAGGAAAGCAAGGUGUAUAAUACGGAUUAAUUUAUUGAGAGUUAAAUUAGAUAGUAGUAAAAUGUAAAAAUUAAAAUUUUGGAUAUGUAAAUUAUUUGCUGUUACAUUUAUAAUUGCUCUGGACAUAUUUUCAUAUUUUAUAAAUGUUGUGUAAUAAAUUCAUUAUGAAUAUUAGUAAAUGUAUUAUUUUCUAAAUAAAUAACUAAAUUGUCAUUCAUCUUCAUUCCAUUCAAUUUUAGAUAUGAUUCUUCACAAAUUUCGUUGUUGAAAAUAUUUUCUUUACUAUUGUUAUG
rnacentral:lncRNA from 1 species